GACGAACGCUGGCGGCGUGCUUAACACAUGCAAGUCGAACGGAAAGGCCCUGCUUUUGUGGGGUGCUCGAGUGGCGAACGGGUGAGUAACACGUGAGUAACCUGCCCUUGACUUUGGGAUAACUUCAGGAAACUGGGGCUAAUACCGGAUAGGAGCUCCUGCUGCAUGGUGGGGGUUGGAAAGUUUCGGCGGUUGGGGAUGGACUCGCGGCUUAUCAGCUUGUUGGUGGGGUAGUGGCUUACCAAGGCUUUGACGGGUAGCCGGCCUGAGAGGGUGACCGGCCACAGUGGGACAAAGGUACGAACAAGACUCCUCCGGGGGGCGGCGGUGGGAAUUAUUGCACAGUGGGAGAAAGCCGGAUGCAGCAACGCCGCGAGGGGAAUGACGGCGUUCGGGUUGAAACCCACUUUCACCUUUGACGAAGUGUGGGUAACGAUAAUGGGUAAGGAAGCACCGGUGAACGAG
rnacentral:rRNA from 1 species